rnacentral:rRNA from 1 species
UACGAUGGGGGCUAGCGUUGCUCGGAAUUACUGGGCGUAAAGCGCACGUAGGCGGCUCGUUAAGUCGGGGGUGAAAUCCUGGAGCUCAACUCCAGAACUGCCUUCGAAACUGAUGAGCUCGAGUCCGGGAGAGGUGAGUGGAACUGCGAGUGUAGAGGUGAGAUGCGAAGAUAUUCGCAAGAACAGCAGUGGCGAAGGCGGCUCACUGGCCCGGUACUGACGCUGAGGUGCGAAAGCGUGGGGAGCAAACAGG